GUCGUCGCGCCGGCGGUAGGGCUGCGGCGCUCCGUCGGGCGCCUUCGGACUCUGACUGCUCGGGCGAGACCGCCUCGCUGUCCGCGGACAGUGCAGAGCGCGCGCCCCGGGCUCCGCCCCAGCCCGCACGACAGACCAAGUCUAGAGGAAGUCGUCGUCGCGGUAGCGAAUGGGAGGUUCUAGAAGGACUUAAAGAUGGCCAGCGGUUUGAAAAGCGACCCGAAGUCUUCAACGGCUAUCUGCAUAAGAAAAGGAAAUGGCCGCUGAAAGGAUGGCACAAGCGUUUCUUCGUAGUAGAUGGUGGUAUUUUGGUAUAUGCGCGGUCUCCGUCGGAUGUGGCUCCCGGUCGGCUGCACGGCUCAGUCGAUGUCGGCCUCUCAGUUAUAUCGGCGAAGGCGCGCCGGCGACGUAUCGAUAUCGACGCUGAUGAGUUCAUAUACCACCUCAGAGCUAAGACUCCAGAUGUCUUUAGGACCUGGUUGAAUGUUCUAAAGGCACACAGGUUAUUUCGUCAACAUUUAUUGACUUUUGGCGUAAGAGAAUCUGUUCCAAAAAUUCACGCGCCUUUAGAAGAUCUACCUACUGAGACUCCAACA